rnacentral:snRNA from 1 species
AUCGCUUCUCAGCCUUUUGGCUAAGAUCAAGUGUAGCAUCUGUUCUUAUCAGUUUAAUAUCUGAUACGUCCUCUAUCGGAGGACAAUAUAUUAAAUAGAUUUUUGGAGCUGGGAGAUGGAAUAGGAGCUUGCUUUGUCCACUCCACACAAUGACCUGGUAUUGCAGUACCUCCAGGAACGGUGCACCCCCU